GUUGGCUCCGAAUCGAAGCCCUGACCUGCCCCGUCAGAGGAAGGACUGAUCGGGCGGAGCAAAGCAGAGGAUUCCUCGACUCGAUCUGGAGCGACAACGAAGGUGCCGUGGUGGUAGUGGUACGGCGCCAUGGGGGUGCCGCUGUCGUUGAAGCUACUGAUUACGCCGCAGGAGCGGCGGCGCCGGCGGCGUCACAAACGCAUACUCCAAGCUCGCAAUGGAUCGAUCACUUCCAGGUCUAAAGCAAAGAAGGGUAACUCUCAUCGUGGUAACAGAUUGAGAAGUUUAGGGCCGGACCUGCCUGAGGACUUCUGGUGCCAUAUGCACUCCCUAUUGCCGAUCUAAGAUUCUGCACGUGCUGCUUCUGUAUCUCGCACAUUCUUACGCUCAUGGAGAUGCCGUCCCAACCUUAUACUCACUAAGGAAACACUGUGCUUGAAAGAGUACGUGAGCGGAGAGGGUGAUAUAGCAAGGGCUUUGACGCACAAAAUUGACCAGAUUCUGAAAAACCACUCAGGCACUGGCGUCAAGACACUUGAGCUUGAUCUAUCUGAAUGUUGUGAUCUCGACGCUUGUUAUCUCAACAAUUGGCUUCAGGUUGCUAUUACUCCAGUGAUUGAAAACUUCACCUUUUCGCCGUCUUCAAAAUGCCAGGAAGAAUACAGCUUGCCCCGCUCACUUUUAUUUGGACAGAAUGGAGGGUCAAUUCAGUAUCUUCACCUCACUUGUUGUGACUUCCAUCCACGGCUGACAUUGGUUGCUUGAGAAACCUAACAAAGCUUUAUCUGAGCUACGUGCGUAUUACAGGGGAAGAGUUAGGCUGCCUUCUUUCAAAUUCUCUUGCUUUGAUGCAGUUGGAACUCGAGGAUUGUAGUGAAAUAAUCUGCCUAAAGAUACAUGCAUGCUGGAGCAGCUCAGCUGUCUGACUGUUUCUGAUUGCAGUAUGCUGCAAAUGAUAGAAAGCCAAGCUCCGAACCUCACCACCUUCGACUUUGAAGGUGACAAUCUGGUACAACUCUCACUCCAACAAUCAUUGCAGGUGAAGAACCUACUCAUGGAAUGCCAUUUAGAGGAGAACUUUCUCUGUUACCCUGUUACCAAGCUUCCAUAUAUGGUGCCAAAUCUUGAAUCUCUUACCUUAUCUUCAAAU